CUAAAUUGUGAUUGGACGAAAAACUGUCAAUCCAAUCUCACAAGACUUCUUUUGUUUUCUACGCUGCCAAUUUUUAAUGCGUGAUAAUGUUUGGACAUUCAUGUUGGUGGUGGAUAAGUCAAGUUUCUUCACGUGGAAAUAUUCUCACUACUUAUGUUUCGUCGAGCAGCAAGAAUAAUUUAGUAAAAUGGAACUUGUGCCCUGGCUCCAAGGUUCUAUCCACUGCUAACAGCUAACGUUGAUGCUAACCCUUCGAAGCACCUGGACGAGCUAUCAUGCCUGCAGGAAGCUAGCCAAAGACCCGGGAACGUCUGAGCUAACUCAAGGCACUCUGCCCAAACAACCGAGGCUCCGACUCCUGGGACCCAGGGACUAACAAACUAAUACGGAUCUUGCUGUCCUGGCUGCAGUGGUAGCUGAGGCAGAACUGUGGAUCACUUUGUUUCCGUUGCCUUUUUUUCCGCGGUGCUGCGGACACACAUGGAGGAGAGGAUUGGAUUUGAGGAGAUACUGACGGGGGUGCACAGCUGCAACGGUCCCCUCCAUCUCCACACCAGGACUAAUGCCGCCCCCCCCCUCCCUCCCUCUCUCUCUCUCUAUCUCUCUCUCCCUGUGUGUUUGACUCUCCCUCUGUCGCACUCUCUCUCGGCUUUCUGCCUCCCGGAGGGGUGGGGGGUGCCAUAUGGGUGCUCAGAAAAUUGGAAGUGGAUCAGAGAUAGACGAGAGAGGAAUCUGUCAUUCUUGGGCUCGGAUGUCGGGAUCUAUGUGGAAACUCAAAAUUGACCAUGGCAGCGAAACCCCGUCAGCAAGACACUUCCACGAAGGGAGGCCUGACAGUUGUCUGUCUUUCCCCGCGCCCAAAGAAUGAUGAGAAGGAAGAGGAAGAAGAAAGGCAGGGGGAUUGAAGUGGAAGUGGAGGUUCACACACACACACACACACACACACACACACACACACACACACACACACACCCCAACUCCUCAUUAGUAUGCAGUGGCUGUUGCUCAGGUGACAUGGCUGCUGGAUUGGGUCUCGGCUGCAGGAACAUCAGCAGCGUGGAGGGGAGCGGGAUAGCAGGUAAGGACAAUGAGAACAGGCGGGAAAAAAACCGAGACGGGGGAAGGGGGAAGGACGAGAGACGGGCACAAGGCAAGGGAAGGACUUCUUUUAAGGACUUAACACCCCAGCAUAUACACACCCUUCUACACUUUACACUGCUGUAAUGCAUACACACACAUUUUCAGUCUAGCCUCCUCCCAAAGCCAUCUCUAAAUGUUUUAAUUACAUUUACUAACGCUGUCUGAUGAGGUAUGCUAGUUGAGGUGUUGCAGUCAUAAUUAUCUGGGAACAUGCAGCUUAUGAAAUAUUCUGUAUUUUACUUGGUGUAACGCUGUUUCUAACGUGCAUUCAUUUCUUAUGCAUUUAUUUACUUCCUGUAUUGUGUGUCUUAACCGAAAAUGUAAUAAUUGUACGUUACAAUGUCUGCUUUUCAUAUUGUAAACCAAAUAAAAAAAAGUCUCUGUUGAA